AGAGUUUGAUCAUGGCUCAGAUUGAACGCUGGCGGCAGGCUUAACACAUGCAAGUCGAGCGGGCGAGGUUGCUUCGGUAACUGAGCUAGCGGCGGACGGGUGAGUAAUGCUUAGGAAUCUGCCUAUUAGUGGGGGACAACAUUCCGAAAGGAAUGCUAAUACCGCAUACGCCCUACGGGGGAAAGCAGGGGAUCUUCGGACCUUGCGCUAAUAGAUGAGCCUAAGUCAGAUUAGCUAGUUGGUGGGGUAAAGGCCUACCAAGGCGACGAUCUGUAGCGGGUCUGAGAGGAUGAUCCGCCACACUGGGACUGAGACACGGCCCAGACUCCUACGGGAGGCAGCAGUGGGGAAUAUUGGACAAUGGGCGCAAGCCUGAUCCAGCCAUGGCCGCGUGUGUGAAGAAGGCCUUUUGGUUGUAAGGCACUUUAAGCGAGGAGGAGGCUACUUGGAUUAAUACUCUAGGAUAGUGGACGUUACUCGCAGAAUAAGCACCGGCUAACUCUGUGCCAGCAGCCGCGGUAAUACAGAGGGUGCGAGCGUUAAUCGGAUUUACUGGGCGUAAAGCGUGCGUAGGCGGCUUCUUAAGUCGGAUGUGAAAUCCCUGAGCUUAACUUAGGAAUUGCAUUCGAUACUGGGAAGCUAGAGUAUGGGAGAGGAUGGUAGAAUUCCAGGUGUAGCG
rnacentral:rRNA from 1 species